UGUCUAUGACAGCCCUGGAGACAGAGUUGCUGACCAGAAUCGGAAAGGAGGGUGCAGGCGGUGAACAUGCAGAGCCCCGUUCCUCGGUUUUUCCGUAGACACUGAGCACUCUGGGGGCUCUUGGCCCCCCCGGCCCUCACUCCGGCCAAGGCGGUCUCUGGAGGUGGGUCGGUUUGGGGCCUCUGAGAUCAAUCUUCUUACUUGAAUUUGAGCAUUUUAAUGAGCUGAGUAGGUGGGGGAGAGCGACGGGUGAGGAGGGCUGCAUCUAAAGAGACCACCCCAGGAGGGGUUCCGAGGAGGCUUUGUAAAUUAAAUAUGAACAGACUGCUCCAUGCAUACUCUGCAUCCUUUCCUCUCGCCUAUUCCUGCGGUCGCUACAGGCAGCCCUGAUGGGACCAGCGCAUCUCAUCAACCCAGAAUUCAGAACCCUGAACUUCACUUCACUUGCCUGUGUCUGUAAUCCCUACAGACACCUCCGGGGAAGAAGAACUUCCCUCGACCGCGGGGACUCGCCCAACCUGGGAACCUCUGGGGCCCGAGAGCCAAGAAAGACCCCCUUCCUUGCUCUUUUCCCGGGGAUGCAGAAGCCAGGUGAAUCUGGCAGGGAGACAGGGCUCCAGGCGCCUGGAGAGGGGCUAAGGGCGCAGUAGCCACCCAGGAGAGGGCGUCAAUUCCCGCGGACCCCCGCAGCUCCCACCCACUCUCCUGCAAGCGCUUUUGUUCCCCGAGCCUGCCUUGGGGAAAAAAGACAACCCUUACCCCCGCCUUGAACCCUGAAGAGUUCAGUGCCCGCCAAGGCAGGGCUGGAGCCCGAGUCGCCCCGGGCAGAGUCCGCCGAGGUCUCGGUUGGGAGCUACGACUCCAGGAUCAGGCUCCGAGCUCCUCUUGGAGAAGGCUGCGCGUAUUUCCACCGGCGCCGCCAGGCGCGCAGGAGCCAGCCUCUCUAAUGUUUGUAAUGUGGAUGAUGGUACAGUUACUGAAGGGCUGGGGAACCGGGAGCGAAGAUACCACCCCCACCUCCGCCUACGUCUUUUAUGGUUAAAGAAACAGACACCUAAUUAGGUGCGUGGAAAUAGGGGAGAGACGGGGUACAAGUUUCCAAGACGCCAGCGUGGAGGCCCAGGUUUGAAAUCUGCAGAAUCUAGGCUAAGGUUUUUGGACCAGGCUGUGGUGCCGACCCUAGAUUCACCCAGAGAGGAUAACUCGAGCUCUGGGCAGCUUUUUGUGGACUUUUAACUGCGACCUUGCCGACCCUCACGGUUCCGAGGGUAGGGAGAGUUGAGACCCCCUGGAUCCCGGCACUAAGCUACCCGGAUUCUAUUCAAAGCUAGGGCCCAGGGCUGGUUCGCGCGCUCCCCCUGCUGGAAACCGCCUGUCGGGCUCAGAGGCGCAGGGCAGCGGCUGGGGUACCUUGGGCCGGGAGGUUCUGAGGCUCGAACCGGGGCCAGGACCGAAGCCUGCGCGGCUCCCGGUUCUUCAUCCCGCGGUGCGACAUUCCGAAGUGGGACAUGCUAACCCAA
rnacentral:lncRNA from 1 species